rnacentral:rRNA from 1 species
UGGGGAAUAUUGGACAAUGGGCGGAAGCCUGAUCCAGCAACGCCGCGUGAGGGAUGACGGCCUUCGGGUUGUAAACCUCUUUCAGUACCGACGAAGCGAAAGUGACGGUAGGUACAGAAGAAGGACCGGCCAACUACGUGCCAGCAGCCGCGGUAAUACGUAGGGUCCGAGCGUUGUCCGGAAUUAUUGGGCGUAAAGGGCUCGUAGGCGGUUUGUCGCGUCGGGAGUGAAAACAGCGGGCUUAACUCGUUGCUUGCUUUCGAUACGGGCAGACUAGAGGUAUGCAGGGGAGAAUGGAAUUCCUGGUGUAGCGGUGAAAUGCGCAGAUAUCAGGAGGAACACCGGUGGCGAAGGCGGUUCUCUGGGCAUUACCUGACGCUGAGGAGCGAAAGUGUGGGGAGCGAACAGGAUUAGAUACCCUGGUAGUCCACACCGUAAAACGUUGGGGCGCUAGGUGUGGGGUCCUUUCCACGGAUUCCGUGCCGUAGCUAACGCAUUU